rnacentral:rRNA from 1 species
GACGAACGCUGGCGGCGUGCUUAACACAUGCAAGUCGAACGGAAAGGCCCUGCUUUUGUGGGGUGCUCGAGUGGCGAACGGGUGAGUAACACGUGAGUAACCUGCCCUUGACUUUGGGAUAACUUCAGGAAACUGGGGCUAAUACCGGAUAGGAGCUCCUGCUGCAUGGUGGGGGUUGGAAAGCUUCGGCGGCUGGGGAUGGACUCGCGGCUUAUCAGCUUGUUGGUGGGGUAGUGGCUUACCAAGGCUUUGACGGGUAGCCGGCCUGAGAGGGUGACCGGCCACAUUGGGACUGAGAUACGGCCCAGACUCCUACGGGAGGCAGCAGUGGGGAAUAUUGCACAAUGGGCGGAAGCCUGAUGCAGCAACGCCGCGUGCGGGAUGACGGCCUUCGGGUUGUAAACCGCUUUCGCCUGUGACGAAGCGUGAGUGACGGUAAUGGGUAAAGAAGCACCGGCUAACUACGUG